UUCAUUCGUGAUUGAACUAUUAUUUAUUGAACUAAGUAUUGUUUUAAGCACUGAAAAACACUAGAGGGGGGAAAAGUCAUAAAAUAUGUCUCCCAUAAAGUAUAUAUCUUUGGGUAGGAGAGAAGGGAGGAGAAGGAGAGGGAGGGGAGACUGAGCAGAAGGUUUUUGUCAAGGAACGAUAAGUACUGUGGAGAAAGUUAAAACAGCAACAGGAAUUAGAGGGUCGCUUAGAAGCAGCAACGUGAAGAAAGGAUAGAACAAGUCAGUCAGUUGCCUGGAGAAAGACCAUUUUGGGCGGAGGGAACAGCCCUGGUGUGAGAGGCCUGGCACAUUCGAGAAGCACUGGGAAGGGCAGGGAAGUGGAGUGAGCAAGAGAAGAAGGGUGAAGGGUGAACAAAAGGUGAAGGGUAAAGGGUAAUGCGGAGAUUAGUUCCUGGUUAAAACUUUGGACAUUACUUUCAGUGCAAUGGAAACCACAGGAGAGAUUUUAGCAUGGUGGAGCAUGUUUAGAGUUAAGUUUUAAGUUUAAUGCAUUACUCUGGUCACCGUGUUGAGAAUUCCACAUGCGGAUGAUGGUGGUAAGUGUGGAGCAGGAAUGACCACUGUGACAAUCAGAGCAAGAGAUCGUGGUGGCUUGUACAGGGAGAGCAUUGGAGGAGGUAAAAAGUUGGAGUCUGGAUGUAUUCCGAGGGUGAGAGGAUAUCCUAAUGGAUUGUGGGUGGCCUGUGAGGGAUAGGGAGCAAAGAUCAUGCCAUGAUUUCUGACCUAAGCAGAUGAAAAGAAUGGAGUUGCUGUUGGCAGGGUUUGGGAAAACGUUUAGGGAAAGCAGCUUUUAGUGAAAAACCGGAAGUUUGGUUUUGUAAAUGUUAAUUUUGAAAUGCUCAUUAGAUGUCCAGAUGGAGAUGUCACGUUGGCAAUGUAGAGUGGGGCUGGAGUGCAGACUAGGGAUGUACUUUGGGAGUUGUUGGUCGUGAGCUCACAAAGAGAGUCGAUGUCAACAGGGAAGAGGUUAAGGAAUCCUGGAAUACUCUAACAUUCUGUGGUCUGGCAAAGGAAACCAAAUAAAAGUGACUAAUGAAGUAGGGGAACUGAACUCCACAAAGCAAGAGGAUUGUGUGUCCAGAGGAAUGAAACGAUUCAACUCUGUCAAAUGCUGCUUGUAAGUUGCGUAAGAUGAGGACUGAGAAUCAACCGUCGGAUUUGACAGCUUCUGAGGCUGAGAGGGAUUAAGCAAGUGGCAGUCUUCAGAUUCCAAAUGUUGCAUUUGUCUGGCUGAGGAAGGUGGAGGUCAAAGAACAUGUAUCCAAAGCGGAAGAAGUACAAGUUAGAUGGAGAAGGAAGCAGUGAAGGCCACUGCAGCAUUUUUCUGAAGACGGCUUCAUUACCAACAAGCAGCAUGAAGAUGAUCUUCUUCAUGACACUCCUCUGGUCAAGACUGUAGAAAGCAAGGCUGUUUUGACAGAUGUUGGAGGAGACAUUUUAAGCUGAUCCAGGUAUGGCUUUUCCCCCACCUUUUUAAAGAAAAAAAUAAUUUUCUCACUAGUCAUGGUACUGGUUCGAUCAUGCUAUAGACAGGCUCUUGGCAUUCUUUAUUUUUUCUUCACUGCACUUACUCCAGUUUGCAAUUGCAUUUCCAUUCUCCUUACUACCAGUUAAUGUCUACCCCCCCAAGACUAUAAGAGGUCCCAUGAGAACAUUACUUUUAAUUCCAGUGAUUAGUUCCCUGCCUGUCAC